ACGGAAGGCAGCAGUAGGGAAUCUUCGGCAAUGGGGGGAACCCUGACCGAGCAACGCCGCGUGAGUGAAGAAGGUUUUCGGAUCGUAAAGCUCUGUUGUCAGAGAAGAAUGUUGUGUAGAGUGGAAAGCUACACAAGUGACGGUAACUGACCAGAAAGGGACGGCUAACUACGUGCCAGCAGCCGCGGUAAUACGUAGGUCCCGAGCGUUGUCCGGAUUUAUUGGGCGUAAAGGGAGCGCAGGCGGUUUUAUAAGUCUGAAGUUAAAGGCAGUGGCUUAACCAUUGUUGGCUUUGGAAACUGUAGGACUUGAGUACAGAAGGGGAGAGUGGAAUUCCAUGUGUAGCGGUGAAAUGCGUAGAUAUAUGGAGGAACACCGGUGGCGAAAGCGGCUCUCUGGUCUGUGACUGACGCUGAGGCUCGAAAGCGUGGGUAGCGAACAGGAUUAGAUACCCUGGUA
rnacentral:rRNA from 1 species